AUGAUCAGUGGACUUUCACCCAUAAGAAAAGGCUCUUGGGGACCGUGCAGCCGUGUUCCACAAGGCUGGUUCCCUGGCAGCAGCCCUUGGCGGGGACGUGGGAGCCCGUGGGGGGUGGGGGGUGUCUUCCACCCUCGCAGCCGCAGAGGAGGGACUGGCAGCAGAGGCCGCAGCAGGCCUGCAGCAGCAGCAGCAGCAGCAGCAGCAGCAGCAGCAGCAGCAGCGGGAGGCUGGUCCCAGCGCAGACCCCAGGCCAGCGAAGCCCGGGAGGCAGAGCUACAGACGACAAGGGCGGUGGAAAGAUUUCCGUCUGUCUGCGAAGGGUUGAGGGGGAGCCUCCCAGAGGGCAGGGAAAAGAGCUCAAUUACUCACCGCCCUCGGCCGCUCUGACUGAUUUCUGCCUUCGCUUCUGCUCUUUAAUUGAUUAUAAACUAACCAGAAAUCCCCAGGGAGCCCUCAGCCUCUGCUGAGGUAGCCGUUGGGUUGGGGCACCGUCACAAGCCGAGGAUUUUGUGGCUGAAAGGUAUAGCGAGUGACCCGGGGCUGGCCGGCUGUGUGACGCACUCCAGCAUACAUCGGAUGACUCAUAGAAGUCAGAUGGAAAAGACCCAUUAGGUCAUUUUUUCCAUCUCCCAGCCAUUGCAGGUUUGCUCUCUGCCAAGGUGGGAUUAUAUUCAAAUAUUUGGUCCAGUCUCGUUUGAACGGAUUCGAGUAAUAGGCUCCCACAACCUCCCCAGGGACCUUAAUUCCACAGGAUCAUUGAUCUCAGUCUUCGGAAAAUGUUCCUGAGGUUCGCUUUAAAUUUUCCUUUGCUCAAUUUCAUCCCAUUAAUCCUACUUAUUACCCCUCAGGCCACCCUAAAUAAUAUCCCUUCUUCUUUCAUGUUGACAGUCCUCCAAUCCUGGGGUGGGGGGCGGGGGGCAGAUACAAAAAUGUCUUCUUGGCUGGGCUCGCGGCCCUAAGUAUAAAAUGAAGACUAGAAGUAUUCUGAAUAAUAGCUUACCGUGUUGGGGGGACGAUGUGUGUCCGAUGAGAAAGGGUUUUCCAGAUUGCCCAAGAAUUGUUCAGACAAUCAAUGGCAGGUGUUUCUGGGUCUGACUUUACAUUCGAAAGAGUCUGAGCAGGACAGCAGCAAAGGAGAGAGCCCGGGACCUGUCAUACUGUCCCCCAACGUGGAUAAUGGGCCACUGUCCUCAUAGCCUGGGGGGAGAUGAUUCUGUAUAAUCCUCUGAUUAUUUUUCUGCUGAGGGCAGGAAUCACUUCAAAGAGCAAACAUCUACCUGAGUCAACUUCUCUGAGCAUAAAUGUCCCUCCCCCUGGCCCGGGUCGUGGCAGACGUGACAGCUGGGGAGUCAGCCGCAACCCGAGUGGCCGCCAGGGUGGGAACCUGCCGCCAGGGUGGGGCUACCGACAAUACAAAUUCUCGGGGUCCAUCUCAGACCCACUGUGAUUCAGAAUCGAUGUCCAAAGCCUAGCGACCUACGUUUUUAACAAGUUUCAUAACAUUUGAAAGGCACAGACCUUGGGGUAACUCUAAUCCCACAGCAUUUGAGAGCAUCUUGGAUGAAACUGGGGAACCUCAGCUUUUGCAUCCGAAGUACAAGAGUUCGGCUGGCGAUGAGACAGAAGUCAGGAGUCAGGGAGGAAGUCAGUCCACAACUGAGAGCAGGAGUUGGCACUGUGGCUCAGGGCGUUAAGAACCCAACACAGUGUCUGUGGGGAUACGGGUUCAAUCUCUGGCCUUGCCCAGUGUGUUACGGAUCCAGUGUUGCUGCAAGCUGCAGCCUAGCUCACAGAUGCAGCCCCUAGCCUGGGUGACUGUGGCUGUGGUGUAGGCUGGAAGCGGCAGCUCUGAUUUGACCCCUCGCCUGGGAACUUCCAUAUCUGCACAUGAGGCCUUAAAAAGGAAAAAAAAAGAAAAGAAAAAGAAAGAAGAGAAAAAAAGAAAAAGACUGAGAGCCAAGUGGAGAGGGCGAGCAAUUGUUGUUAGAAANCAGUGUCUGUGGGGAUACGGGUUCAAUCUCUGGCCUUGCCCAGUGUGUUACGGAUCCAGUGUUGCUGCAAGCUGCAGCCUAGCUCACAGAUGCAGCUCAGAUCUGGCGUGACUGUGGCUGUGGUGUAGGCAGCUCUGGUUUGACCCCUCGCCUGGGAACUUCCAUAUCUGCACAUGAGGCCUUAAAAAGGAAAAAAAAAGAAAAGAAAAAGAAAGAAGAGAAAAAAAGAAAAAGACUGAGAGCCAAGUGGAGAGGGCGAGCAAUUACUGUUAGAAACCAAAGUGCAGCAUGCAGGGUCUGAACGCAUUGGCUCAUCAGGGCAUGGCCAUUAACUGGAUACAAGGUCUGGCUGGACCCUGGCCUGUUUGAAUGGGGGUCUGUGCUAGAAUUGCCCACUUCUUCACUUGUUGUUUGCGGGUUAAGGCAAAUGCAUCGUACAGGUGUCCCUUGCUUUAUUGCACUUUGCUGCAUGGCGCCUCACAGACAGUGAGUCUUUGACAAAGUGAAGGUUUGUGGCCAGUCUCUCGGUGCCAUGUUUUCAACAACAUUUGCUGACAGUGUAUCUCCGUGUCAGCACCUGAUAAUUUUGGAGAUACUUCCGAUGUUUUCAUUAUUAUUGUCUUUGUUGUAGUGCUGUGAGAUUAGUGAUCUUUGAUUCGUUUCUAUUGCAACUGUUUUGGGGAGCCCCACACAAGGCACUCACAGAAGACAGCAAAUGGAAUCCGUCGUUGACAGCACAGAAUUUAGACUGUGACACUCAAGGUUAUAUUCGUUGAUAUGAUAAUAUAAUUAUGAAAUUAGUUGAUAUAAUAAUAAUUGACAAUCAACAAUGUAUGAGUUGAUAAGGCAGAGACAGGGUUUGAGAGCACUAACUGAACUUUUGAAAGAAGUUCCGCUGAGGGUGAAGUGAUACAAAUCACCACUGCGCAUUACAGAGGGCAGGGCAGGCCAAGAUUUCACAGGACGCCAGAAAAGUACCAGCCAUUAAAGGCAAAAAAAAGUUGAUUACUAAGCUACCAGCAAGUACCACUAUAAAUACCAUUAUAAGAGCUAAAAUAAAAAGACCAUUUCAAAUUUGAACA
rnacentral:lncRNA from 1 species